rnacentral:rRNA from 1 species
UACGUAGGGGGCAAGCGUUGUCCGGAUUUAUUGGGCGUAAAGAGCGUGUAGGCGGCCAGACAGGUCCGUUGUGAAACUAGAGGCUUAACCUCUAGACGUCGAUGGAAACCGUUUGGCUAGAGUCCGGAAGAGGAGAAUGGAAUUCCUGGUGUAGCGGUGAAAUGACGCAGAGUAUCAGGAAGAACACCCGUGGCUAAGGCGGUUCUCUAGUACGGUACUGACGCUGAGACGCGAAAGCGUGGGGAGCGAACAGG